rnacentral:rRNA from 1 species
UACGGAGGGUGCUAGCGUUGUUCGGAAUUACUGGGCGUAAAGCGCGUGUAGGCGGCCGAUUAAGUCUGGUGUGAAAGCCCGGGGCUCACCCCCGGAAGUGCGCUGGAAACUGGUCGGCUAGAGUAUGGGAGAGGAAAGUGGAAUUCCCGGUGUAGCGGUGAAAUGCGCAGAUAUCGGGAAGAACACCCGUGGCGAAGGCGGCUCUCUGGGACGGUACUGACGCUGAGACGCGAAAGCGUGGGGAGCGAACAGG